rnacentral:lncRNA from 1 species
GUACUUGAUUAUGAGAAGUGAGUGUUUUGCCAGUGGAAAAGAAAACUUGCAAAAAAGUUAAUACCCCAAGUAUUAGCAUAGAACUUUUGACCGACAGCCCCAAGGGCUGUAACUGCUGCAGAGCACAGUCAACAACAUGGAAUCCUUGGACACCAGGGUAGGUGCCUGUGCAUUAGUCACAUUCACAUCCUGGAAGGUGGUUCUAGCUGUGCUGCAGCUGUUCCUACUGGACCUCUUUAACUGGACUUUCCUUCUGGUGAGCUUCUGUGUAUGCAAGUAUCAGGGAAGAGUAGACAGUCGGAGUUGUGGGGCUCCCAAGGACUUUUGUACCCAUGAUGUCAAGCAUGCAUACCUGGCUUAGGGCAUCUUUGACCAUGUUAACUCCACUGCACAUGAGGAGACCUGGGGUGGGUUGCUUUGAAGGAGCACUAUCCCAGCAUCUGCCAUCUCAUUCAUUCUAAGGCAAGUCUUUCAGACCCAUAAUUUUCAGGAUAACAUCACGUUUCUUAGCAGGCUUUACAAAGUUGUUGAUUAUCUGACUCAAGAUCCCUCCCUAAAGUCCACACAUUUCUCACUGAAGACUACAGAAUUGAGUUGAUCCUAUGUCUUCAUUCAAGUCACACUUCCAUUUGUACAAGAUCCCUCCUCCAAAUUAUUUAUUUUACUUCUCUGUUAGUCGGCUUUCCAUUACUGUAACAAAAUCCCUGAGAUAAUCAAUUUGAAAAGAAUAUUCAUUUUGGAGGUUUCAAUCCAUGGUCAGUUGGCCCAUUACUUGUGGGCCUAUGGUGAGGCAAUACACCAUGGUGGGAGCAUAUGGCAGAGCAAAUUGUUCACUUCAUGGCUGGGAAGUAAAAGAGAUGAGACCAGACCCUUUGAGGGCUUGCAACCAGUGACCUAAAACCUCCCUUUAAACCCCACCUUUCAAAGUUUCCAAUAGCACCAAGUUGGGAACCAAACUUUUAACAUGGGCCUUUAACACUCUAGAUCCAAAUGAGAGCAAGCAGUAUUGUCAUCUUAACAAUAUUAAGUCUUCUAAUCCAUUAACAAAUGGGGUGUCUUUUCAUUUACUUAUGUUGUAUUUAAUUUCUUUCAGAAAUGUUUUGUAGUUUUCAAUCUCUAAGUCUUUUAUCUCUUAUUGAAUUUAUCCCUAAAUAUUUUAUUUUUGUUUGUUUCCUUAAUUUUCUUUUUUGGAAUGUUCAUUGUUAGUAUAUAGCAUCUUUGUGAUGUGUGUGUGUUGAUUUUGAAUUGUGCAACUUUGCUGAACCUGUUAAUCAGCUCUAAG